AAAAAAGAAAAGAAAAGAAAAAAACACUCAAGACACAUUAUAUAUAAGUAAAAUAAUCCAUCAUUUUCUCCAAAUGCCACCCCUAACCAACCCCCUUCUACCACCACCACAUUAACAUAACCCACUUCCUCGCCAUCCACGUCGCCACCGCCAUCAGCUCCCAGAGCACAUCUCCAAGUGAUAAAAGAGGAGGGUGGAGAAAUCCAACUUUACUUGAGACUGCUGCGUCAAGGGUUCGAAUCCUGAAAUAUGGAUUUGGCUCUUGGGUAAGUGCAAGUGUACAAGCAACCUUCCAUCCUAUACUCUUGGAGGUAUAACCUGUGAUUUACCUCUCUCACGAUACUUUAGGGAAGGAGUGGUGGAGGACCCUUGAAGUUAGGGUUUAACCUUUUACGUCGCCACCACCAUCACCUUCCAUCAAACUCUCACCACCGUCAAUGUAGAGUCACAAAAUUGCAACCUCAAUCGAAUUCAAAUCUUUAACAAAGAUUUCCCUAGUAACCACAGUUCUUUUACUUGUUAACUGUUGGUUGUGCAGUAAUCUGUAGAAGAAAGUUGAAAAAAAAUAAUAAAAAAAAUGAUACGGAUGAAGCAAAAAUUGUUUUGAAAAUAGGUUUUUGAAAUUACGG
rnacentral:lncRNA from 1 species